rnacentral:rRNA from 1 species
UUAGAGGAAGUAAAAGUCGUAACAAGGUUUCCGUAGGUGAACCUGCGGAAGGAUCAUUACCGAGAGAGGGGGGCUAACCGCCCCUCGACUCUUUAACCCAGUGCCGACCGUUCCGGGUUGCUUCGGCGCAAAGUCCUUUCCCCUAAGCAGGGGACGGGGGGACCGCCGGGGGGACGUGUAUGAUCAAUAAUAAAUGUAUUUUAAAACUUUCAACAACGGAUCUCUUGGUUCUGGCAUCGAUGAAGAACGCAGCGAAAUGCGAUAAGUAAUGCGAAUUGCAGAAUUCAGUGAAUCAUCGAAUCUUUGAACGCACAUUGCGCCCUUUGGCAUUCCGAAGGGCAUACCUGUUCGAGCGUCAUUGGCUCUUUUUCCGGUUGGGCGCUGUUGAGCGAAAGCCCUCCGGAAAGUCUUGGGCGAGCGUUUCGAAAACGGGCCCCAAACUCAUAGGCGGUUAUCGGUGUUCCCGCGAGCGUAAUUAAUUGAUCGGAAGCAAUGUCCACGCUGCGCGGCUGAACCCCGGGCCUGCCCGUCGGGGCAAGUCAAGCACCCAAAGCAGGCCUCUAUAAAGAGGUAGGUGGUGUUAAAGCUUGCGGUUCGUACCGGUUGACCUCGGAUCAGGUAAGGGUACCCGCUGAACUUAAGC